ensembl:lncRNA
CAGCUCUCCCCAUGGGGCUGGAGGAGCCCUGGGUGAUGUCGCCUCUCCCACAUGAGAUGGACAGGGUACGGCAGGAGUGAGAGUGGGCAGCUCCUCUCCCACAGGGAGGGCAGGUACAUAGCAUUUUUUCUAUCUGUGGCAUCAACCUCCCUGUUUCGAGGAGUUAUUUUUUCAAAGCCUCUUCUUAUAUAUUUAUAUUUUAGGUGCUAUGUCCAGCAAGAACUCAGCAUGGUGUGACGUUGCAAAUGAAUCUGAUUUUUAUUCUUGUUCCUGGGAAGCAAGCUUUUCACAUAGCCAUUGUAGCUGCAAAGAUUUAACUGGCUCGGACAGUGAAAGUGAUCGUCAUUCUUACAUUGAUACAAAUGAUCAGUACCAUUCCCUGGGAGAAGAGAGGGAAAGAAGCCAAACCACCAAUGACUUGACAGAAGCUUUUCUGGUCUCAGGAAACAAUCAAACCAACAAAAAAAAUAACGGCAGGGACUAUCUUUUACUACAAGGGAAAAAAUCACAAUAUUCUAGGAGUAGCCAAAAAGAAAAGGCACCAAAAUCCAUACCACCUUCUACAUUUAACAGAAGUCAAACAAUUGAUCACCCAUCUGCAAGUUGUUCAGCACGAGUGCUUCAGUCAAGGUCUGCAUUAUCAUCUCGAAAGGAUUUACUUUCCCAAAGUGACCGCCCCCAGCUCUUCAUUACUGAGCAACCAAUACAGGAGCCAGCCGUUUUCACAAUUAAGAAAGCCUACAUAGUUAAUAAGCUACAUCAAAAGCACCCGCCAGCUGAUUCUCCUCCAACUUCGAAGUGCAAUAAAGCUGUGCAGGCUUCUUUCACUUGUAGAGGGGAAGACCCUGGUGAAUGUAUUGUUUGUGAAUGUUCAAAACGGUCACUAUUAAAGGAACAGAGAAACAGAAAACUGGACAAGAAGAAAGCUGCUGUGUUUCAUAACACUGAAAGUAUUGCCAAUCAAGAUUUAUCUUCUGGUGAACUGGUGAAUGGACAUUUACAUUGUCCUUUGGAAGCAGUGACUGAUAUACCUGUCAAACCACAGACCUCCAAGCAUUGGUGUUUGCCCAUUAGUUCAUCAACUCUUGUUAUAUCUCUAGCAUUGGAAGCAGGUUAUUCAGUUCCAUCUGUUUCAUUAGCAGGAGCUGAAACAAAAUAUAGUAGUUCUUCAAAGGUUAGGAAAGUCAGAGGCGAUGCAAGUAGACCUGCCUUAGCUUUCAAACUUAGAGAGCCUGAGCUUAACCAAUAUUUUAACAAGUUGCGUAUUUCUAUAGUUCCAAAUCCUGUGCACUUAGAUACUGACACUCGAAAGCAAGCUAUUCCGUUUACUGGGCAGGUAGGACUCCAACAAGUCCCAGGUCCUGAAGCCAAUCAGCCUCUGGAAACGCAGACCGAUUCAUCUGAUUCUGACAUUCCCGGAGCUCAGAUAGAACAAGCAUCUUCUAUAUUUAAACCCCCGUCUGCCAAGCAGUUCUUUGUGUCCUCUGAAGAUACACAGGAUACAGUUUGGCCUUCUACCUCUUAUAGUGUUAAAAAAAUUCCCUACAGAAAAGGGAUAUCCAUUAAAGAGCCCUUUGAAGAGCAGAAACAUCAAUUAAAAGUCUGCAGGUCCAUAAGACAUCCUAUCGUGUCUACCAAACCCAAAGAAGCUCAAAGAGAUCAAAGAUUUAUAAACAAACCCUACAUCUCUUCCAACCUUGACAACACAAAGACUUUGGAUAUUGAACCUUUUAAGCAAAAAUGUGGUCACUACAAAACUGUGAAAGAAACAGAAAUAGGUAAAUUGAAUUACGUGCCUUUAUCAGAAACUGUUAAGUGUCAUUGUGGUCCUUUAUCUAACUUGAGUGUCAACCUGUAUCCAAAGCGGAGAUAUUCUGGCAUUGAGAAAUCCCUAAGCAUUAACAGAAAACCAUCCAAAAGAGGUGGUGUAACACGUAGAAUUUCUGCACAGUCUCUGCUAAGUGAUAGAGACAGUACUGAGGAGACCCAAUACAUCUCUCCUUCCAAAAGAAAAAAGGAUUUGAAGAUGCAGAGCAUUCUGAACUUUUGUUUUGGGUGGCCGGGGGCACAAAAGAAACAUGAGAGGUCACCAUGUAAAGGAGAGAUCUCUUCCACUGCAUAUGAUCCAGAAACAAAAGAGGAAGGUCUUUUGAGCCCACCUUUACCAGCUGAGAGGAGAAGUCUGACUGCCCCAUUUCUCCAAGAUGAAAGAGAGAGUCAGAGUCUUGCAGAUGGGACAUUUCAUCCUGAAGACAAUUUGAACACCUUGGAUUCUCCUUAUACUGGGAAUAUCAGUAAUUUAGUACAGCCACCAGAGCAGAGGAGUAUGUUUCAGGCCACUAAUAAUGUACCGUUGGAGAAAUUGGACUCUGAGUCUGCCCCAGUUCCUUCUGGAGACUCCAUCCUGAAGAAGCUCAUGUUUUGCAGAUGUGGACAGAUGCCACAACAUGGACUCUUCCCUACUGGAGAUAUUUUCCAGUCAGUUACUAAGAAAACCAUAAGCCAUCCUGCUACUGGUAUGGGACCCUGCAAACCUGAGCUAGCAAGGGAGUGCUGCCAUAGAGAAAUACCAGAUAACAUGAAUGAAACAUACUGGUACAGUAACCAAUCUGUAUUUCCAACUCAUUCAUCUUUGGAAAACAUACGCAAGCAAGAAGCCACAAGGGGGCAGUUCACUAACACACAGUCUUACUUUGAGAACAGUGUUCCAGCAAAGACGGUGACAAAUGAACUCCUAAAAGAAGGGAAGCGAAUGGAAAUGGGUGAAAGCGGGAAUAUCAGAAGCAAUAUGGAAGUUGACGCCAUGCAUCAAAUUUGUGCACAUGGCAUGUAUGCUGCAACACCUUCUGAGCAUGGUGGGAGAGAGAAAACACUGCCAGAGUAUUCCAUAUAUCACCCCAACUAUUGCCCAUCCUGCCAGCCUGCUGCUACCCAAAAACUAGGCACAUCAAAUGACUAUUAUAACUGCUUCAAGUCAAAGCAGAAAGAACCCAAGAGUUCCUUGAGCAUAGAGAGAGGGUUUACAGUUGAUCCUUGCCUGGGGAAUAGGAGCCAAUGCAAAUGUUCUCAAGAAAUCCCCCUUCCCUACCUGGAACAAAGUAUCCCGUAUGAGGAAAAUAGAGCUACGCUUCCAAAGAGAAAUGACCCAGACCUAAUUCAGGUUUGUACCAACUCAAAAUAGUUAUGCAAACAUUCAGUUG